AUAUACGGAUAUAUAAACAUAGGCAUAGAUAAGAAUAUUCAAAGCAAAGCAAGUGGCAAACAUCAAAUGUGUCUCGCAUCUCAUUAAAAUUCAGUAUGGGAACUUUGUCAAAAUUAUUUCGACUAUGGCGUGUUUUGCUGAUGCUGCUAAUGAGCACAAAAGUAUACGCCGCGUUGGCCAUGUCACUGCCUGGAGAUGGAAGUACAGCAUACUCAAAGACAUUGAAGGAAAAUCGAAGCAAGCCGAGCAAAACGAGCAACUAUUUUCUGCAUCAGCCAUAUGGUCCCAAUACGUAUGCCUUUGGCUAUGAGGUGGACGAUGCACAAACGGGCAAUGUGCAGUUUCGAGAUGAGAGCCGUUAUCAAAAUGGCAGCAUUGCGGGCAGUUAUGGUUUUGUGCGACAAGACGGACUUGUACAGGUGACACGCUACAAAACCGAUGAGAAUGGCGGAUACUUGGCACAUUCACAGAGUUAUUCCCCUGGGGAUCAACAAGUGGAUACAAUUUGGCCACAACAGCUUCCCCAGUUAUUCAAUCAUAGGCACCAACUGGAGCCAGCUCAAAAUGUUAGCUGGGAUGCCAGAAAUCAUUUGAAUGUGAGCGUGGAUCAGGUGGAGCAAACUGUGGCAGAUCAUCUGAAGCAACAUGGUCUGGACCUGUUCAACAUCAAUGUGACAGAGGAUCUGCUGCACUCUACAGCUCUUGACAUAGUCAAUGGCCGAACGCCUUUAAAAAGACAGCCCAAUGGCAGUUUGGCAUUUGAAAUACUGCAAGACUUUUUGCCCAACAAUUUGCCGGUGGUGCCAUUUGAGCUGAAGGCAAAAGAACUCACAACAACAAGUGCUGAGCCAAUGCAUGAAAAAUACAACAAAGCCAAGACCAAUAAUGAUGAGAAGGCGCCACAGGUGGCAGCUGAAGUCACCAAUGUGUUGCCAACACCGAAACCAUUAGUUAGCAGCAGCUCAAACGAGAGCAACUGGUACCAGCAAAUCAUUCAGGCAAAUCGUCGUCAAUUCCUUGAGCAGUUACCAAAUUUGAGUGAAGCUAAUGCUUGAAAUGUGGCACACAAAAAUCUGUUAAAAGUGGCUGCUCCACUAUAACCAUUAGCCAUGCCGACACGCCCCCUUUUCAGCGAUUAAUAAGUAUUAGCUCUAAUUUGAAUCACGCACACUGCCUCGCCUCACCCGACUCUUAUUUGGGAAUUGUCUUCGGAUUGUGCAACGGCCAGCAACAACAAUAUAGCUAAACUUGUAUUCGAUAUUUAUAAA
rnacentral:misc_RNA from 1 species